ACUGCUCAGUAACACGUAGUUAAUCUACCCUACAGCCCGUGAUAUCGUCGGGAAACUGACGUUAAUAACGGAUAGAGGAUUUUUUCUGGAAUGAUUAAUCCUCCAAAAUUCGCGGUAGGAUGAGACUGCGGCUGAUUAGGUAGUUGGCGGAGUAACGGCCCACCAAGCCGAUGAUCAGUAAGGGCCUUUAGCGAGGAAACCCUGAGAGGGAAUCUGAGACACUAUUCCCAGUCCUACGGGAUGCAGCAGUCGGGAAUUUUUUGCAAUGCGCGCAAGCGUGACAGAGCGAGCCAAAGUGCUUCUCUAUAAUUGAGAAGCUUUUGCGGGAUGUAAAUAGUCUCGUGAAUAAGGACCGGGCAAGACUGGUGCCAGCCGCCGCGGUAAUCCCAGCGGUCCAAGUCGCAGCCACAAUUAUUGGGUCUAAAACAUCCGUAGCUUGCUUUGUAAGUUUCUUGUGAAAUCUGGCCUCUUAAGGGUCGGUCGGGCAAGAAAUACUGCGAAGCUAGAGACCGGGAGGCGCAUGGAGUACACAUAGGGUAGCGGUAAAAUGCGUUGAUCCUUUGUGGACUAACAAUCGCGAAGGCACCGUGCGAGAACGGAUCUGACAGUGAGGGAUGAAGGCUAGGGGCGCAAAGUGGAUUAGAUACCCAUGUAGUCCUAGCAGUAAACACUGCACACUAAACAUUGGGGCCUCCUCGAGAGGUUUCAGUGCUGUAGCGAAGGCGAAGAGUGUGCUACCUGGGAAGUAUAGUCGCAAGACCGAAACUUAAAGGAAUUGGCGGGGGAGCAC
rnacentral:rRNA from 1 species